rnacentral:tRNA from 1 species
GGGGAUGUAGCUCAACUGGGAGAGCGCGUCAAUCGCACUGACGAGGUUGUGGGUUCGAGUCCCAUCAUUUCCA